AUUCGGGGUUCCAGGGGGUCACGCUCCGAUCCCGGACGAGCCUCCAAAUGAAAGAGCGUACCCCAAAACGGGGAGCCGAGUCUCUCGCUCCGAUCGCAGGGUGGGGUGCCCCCAGGAAUCACGAGGAGCC
rnacentral:pre_miRNA from 14 species